rnacentral:rRNA from 1 species
CAGCAGCCGCGGUAAUACGGAGGGGGCUAGCGUUGUUCGGAAUUACUGGGCGUAAAGCGUACGUAGGCGGCUUUGUAAGUUAGAGGUGAAAGCCUGGUGCUCAACACCAGAACUGCCUUUAAGACUGCAUCGCUUGAACGUCGGAGAGGUGAGUGGGAUUCCGAGUGUAGAGGUGAAAUUCGUAGAUAUUCGGAAGAACACCAGUGGCGAAGGCGGCUCACUGGACGACUGUUGACGCUGAGGUACGAAAGCGUGGGGAGCAAACAGGAUUAGAUACCCGGGUAGUCCCUGUCUCUUAUAC